CUUGACACACCUUCAAGCCAUACAUAGAAGCCAGGAUAGAUGAAGGAAAGAUAAAGACCACCAAAAUAGGGGCUUUGGGGCCAUCGCUGAAGACAAACUUUAUUCACUGUAUAAUCUUGCUUCAGGUGGACUGGGUUCUCUCUUCCCUUUCACAAAGGAAGUGACUCAAGAUACCUGAUAUACUCUCAACCCUCAGAAAAUGAACCUCUUUCCAUUCACUUGAUCCCACCAGUCACAAAGCACAGACUCUGUCAUGCACCAGAGGGGCAACAUGAAUAAGAAGUGUUUACACUCUGAAGGAGCCGACCCAACCAAAGUGAGAGAUUCAGACAUGGAACAGAACCCCAAGUCAUCAUGUAAAGAAGUCCAGGCUACCCUGAUAGAGAAGCCAAGAAGAGAGAAUGAAGAUGCCCCAGCCAAAAACUAGCACCAACAGGUUAAAAGGAACCCUCCACUGUCUUAAAGGUUGAAUGCAGCUACCUGAGUGAGUCUAGGCAAGACCAUCAGACCUGCUGGCCAAUCCACAGGAUCACAAGGAAUAAUAAAUAGUUAUUGUUUCAGAUGUCCACAUGUGUCAUUGUGUGAGGUUGUUGGAGUAAACAUGUCGCAGCUGGGUACAUUCAUGAUGACCAGUUCAACAUGGGGCAAGGCUCGGUGUCUGCUGCUGGAGGCAUCCUCUGCUUUCAUAGCAUAAUCUUCAUGCAAUCACCAGUGAAGAGGGAC